GGGUGGGGGGGGGUGCCAAGCACAGGAUCCGCCCCGGGUGCCAAAUGCUCUAGGUACGCCCCUGGUUGGAGCAUUAGACUUUUUUAAGGGGUGCCCUCGAAGGCACGCUAGGGUACAGCCUUGAGACCAGGUAUUUGUCCUUUCUCUACUCCUACCUCCCCUCGUUAACCCGUUACCUGCCAUUUGCAGUUAGGUUUUUUUCACUUAUUUAUUUACAUUGUCUCCCUUUCCCUUUCCUCCCUCCUUCUUUCUCAGCAACAUUUGUGCUCAGGUCCCUGUAUCCACGUAAGCUAGCACGUAUGAGGAUUUGCUAUCAUUGGAUUUUCCCACAUUUUUGGGGAUUUUAAUAUACUAAUUAAAAGUUAUGUUUUAUUUUAUUCUAUCUAUGGGUUGGUCUCCUCACUUUAGAGGGCUGACUCAUGAGGGCUAAACUGUCUCAUCCUCCGAGUCUCCCCUUGGUUCUUUAUUUUUAUUAAUCCUUAUUUAUAGGGGUUACUCCCCACUGUUACGAGCACCCUGACAUAUCUUCCCUGCUUUCAUUUAUUUCUAUAAUACAAUCAUCUCCUAAAUACUUGUCCAACCUCAAGGUGUCCUUGUUGCUCAGUGAGAGACCGUGGUACAGGACAAAAUAGACUCCCAAAAACUCGAAGCUGUUACACAAACAGUAUACGUUUCAAAAAUAGACAUCUAGGAUACUCCCCAAGAUACUUCAUUAUUUUGAUGUUGCCAUUUUAUCACCAAUCACUUAAAAAUGUUGAUGGUACUUUACGUGUAUUUCACACACAAAUAUAAAUUAAUUUUGAAUGUUGGCUGUAAAUGUUAUGUCCAGGAUUUAUACAACUUCAAUUCAUCUUCCAAGAGUCCACAGUUUAAACAAUGUCUCUUCAAGUACUCAUGGACUGUACCACUACUAUGGAAAAAUGUUGCUAUUCACAAAUAGAACACUCAUCAGUCUCUGUCAAGCAGGGAGCAGGUUCACAGAGACAUGACAUGGUAUGAAGAUAAUUCUUCAUCAGUUAUUCAUAUAAUUAAUGGUUUAAAGUCCUUAUCCUUUAUUAUAAAAGCUCCUUACGCUCACAGUACGAAGACGUUCCCAUCAGUUCUCCCUAAUUGCUGUAGGUGUGGAGAAAUCUAUCUUGAGACAUUUAUUAACCCCUUAAGGACCACAGACAUACUAGGUAUGUCUGACAAAAAACGGUCCUUAAAGGAACACUAUAGUCACCUAAAUUACUUUAGCUAAAUAAAGCAGUUUUAGUGUAUAGAUCA